AUUGUCUGUUUAAGUUUUUGAGUUUCAGUAAAAUGCAACAUUGCUAAAUGCCACCAAAUCGAGAGUUAAUGUCACGCAUGGCCUACUAUAGAUGUCACAUCACUGGUACUUAAUAGUAUUUUAGUUCCAAGAUGGCGGGCAACGUGUUCAGAGCUUACGUGUCCAAGAACAUUUUUAAGCCUACGCCACGCUCUUGAUAAUCACUAUUACAUAUUUCUUCGAACUGUACUUUGAAUGUCAAUGAUAAGGUUCCAAGGUAGGCCAAAAAAUCGUUAACAAUACCAGUAAUUGAAAUUUUACAACUGAACAUGUAUGUCGCGACAAUCUGGUAUCGCAAUUUGUACGAGAAGCUUUUGAACGCUGGAAAGCCGAAGUCAUUAAAAGACAGGGACGAACGUAACACAAUUUAAUUAAUUAUGUUACACUAAUGACAAUUGUUUCCACAGUGUUGUUUUCUUAUUUUAGGUAACAUACUGGCACACAAAAAUCAGGAACACAAAAAUCAUCUAAGUUGCCUAAGCUAAACAGGAAUUGGGAGUGAAGGGUGACACGGGUUGUAGUUUCUUGAAAACAUUAUUAAUAACAGCAAGAAAAUUUCCAAGUUUCAGGCUGUUCCAAGUUGUGCUGGAAACACCAUUUGUUGACACAAUGGAUCAAUUGUUGUGUGCACUCUUUCACACAAGUAUUAAAGAAAAAACCCUCAUUUUUCUUUCCUGAAGGAAGAGCAUGAUGAUUAGGAUUACCAUUUCAACGAGAGUUUGCAACUUCAGAUCUCACAGCCGAAAAAUAAUAAGCCUCCAUGAUGGCUUGGUAUUAUACCAGUAUUGGUACAUAUUCAACUCAUGAUGGUUGGCUGGUUAUAACAAACCAUGCUGCUGUGAAUGGGAAUUGGGACAAACUGGAUUUGCUGUGGAGGAAAAGCACACUAGAUGGCGAGUAAUGUGGAUAAAAAUCGCUACGCUAGAUGGCGAAUGCUGAGAUUGGAAAUCCCAGCUCUAAAUGGUGGUUGGAAACUCCAGUGGCGUUUCCUGUACUUGAAAAAAUCCACAUUAGAUGGCGAGUGCUGUGGUUCGAAAUCCCCACAUAAAAUGGCGAUUGGUAGUUGGUAUUCCUCUCACUAGAUGGCGGAGAAAGUAUUGUACUAGAGCAUUACGGUACAUUCCGGUGUCUGGGAACAUCAGUGUACCGACGUCACUUACCCAUGUCAUGUAAUUGAAUACGCUGCAUUCGGGUACAAGAUCUAUUGGACCGUAACACGUGAAGUUCUACGGGUUUCUACAGUCAUGAGUACUCAUCGCAUUCUUUAAACCCAAGUGUGCUAGUACAGUUUUCGUUUUAAACAUCAGUUCUUUAACUGCGGUGGAAAUGGGACUUCGGCGGUGGAACGUCGUUAUCAAGAUAAAUAGUUAGAAGCGCUGUUUGAACUGUAUGAAUUAAUAUUAUCCAUAGGCAAUCAGAUGUCUAAAAUUGAAUUGAUUCAUAUACAUUUUAUUAUUAAGGCA